AGACCAGAAACAAUUCUAUUUCCCAAAGGGCAUCUAGUUCUCCUCCCGGCUUCCGAAUAAAGACUGAAAUUUAAACCCUGGGAUCUGUUUAGCCCUGCUGAAAUAUUCAGAGGCAGACUUACAGCUUCCACAACAAGGACGCCUUUUCAUUCAUAGCAGAAGUAAAGAAAAGAAGGCAGGUAAACAGCGCGGUCCAGGAAUGCUCGAAAUCAUUCAAGUCACGUCAGUUCAGGGCCGAGCUGGUUCUGGCUUGUCCAGGAUCGCUACCGAGCACUGAGCGACAUCCGUGCCGGUGUUCACGGGCUGGGAGAAGGAGAACAUUUUUCAAUUUGGGUCAUGCUGAGUUGUGGAUUCUCCAGGGGGGGAAGUUCUAUCUAGGAUUUGCCUGAAGACAAAAUGACGCUGUUGGGCUUCCCACACCCAAUUAUUUGCAGUAAUUCCCCCCAAGGGGGUUAUAUUUCACCCACAGUGCAGUGGGGGAUUAAAAGCAAGGCGCCUUGCCACCUUCCGCGCCUUGAACGGCCUCGAACGUAA